rnacentral:rRNA from 1 species
GACGAACGCUGGCGGCGUGCUUAACACAUGCCAGUCGAACAGAAAGGCCCUGCUUUUGUGGGGUGCUCGAGUGGCGAACGGGUGAGUAACACGUGAGUAACCUGCCCUUGACUUUGGGAUAACUUCAGGAAACUGGGGCUAAUACCGGAUAGGAGCUCCUGCUGCAUGGUGGAGGUUGGAAAGUUUCGGCGGUUGGGGAUGGACUCGCGGCUUAUCAGCUUGUUGGUGGGGUAGUGGCUUACCAAGGCUUUGACGGGUAGCCGGCCUGAGAGGGUGACCGGCCACAUUGGGACUGAGAUACGGCCCAGACUCCUACGGGAGGCAGCAGUGGGGAAUAUUGCACAAUGGGCGGAAGCCUGAUGCAGCAACGCCGCGUGCGGGAUGACGGCCUUCGGGUUGUAAACCGCUUUCGCCUGUGACGAAGCGUGAGUGACGGUAAUGGGUAAAGAAGCACCGGCUAACUACGUG